UCGGGUUUCAUCGUCGCCCUCGACACUCACAGCGAAGUGUUGAGGUAGGCAUGUAGCCCGAAA
rfam:Caenorhabditis briggsae complete genome, chrX